rnacentral:rRNA from 1 species
CCUACGGGCGGCAGCAGUGAGGAAUAUUGGUCAAUGGCCGGAAGGCUGAACCAGCCAUGCCGCGUGUAGGUCAGUGCCCUAUGGGCGUUAAACUUCUUUUGUGCGGGAGCAAUGAUGGUCACGUGUGGCCAGACGAGAGUACCGUACGCAUAAGCAUCGGCUAACUCCGUGCCAGCAGCCGCGGUAAAACGGGGGAGGCAAGCGUUAUCCGGAUUUGGUGGGGUUGAAGGGUGCGUACGCUGGGCUGUAAGUCAGCGUGGAAAUGCCCCCGCGCAACGGGGGGAAGUGCCAUUGAUACUGGCUUGCUGGAGUGCGGAAGCGGUGGGUGGAAUGUGUGGUGUAGCGGUGAAAUGCAUAGAUAUCACACAGAACACCGAUUGCGAAGGCAGCUCACGAAUCCGCGACUGACGCUGAGGCACGAAAGCGUGGGUAUCAAACAGGAUUAGAUACCCCGGUAGUC